AUUGAACGCUGGCGGCAUGCUUUACACAUGCAAGUCGAACGGCAGCGCGGGCUUCGGCCUUGCGGCGAGUGGCGCACGGGUGAGUAAUACAUCGGAACGUGCCCUGUAGUGGGGGAUAGCCCGGCGAAAGCCGGUUUAAUACCGCAUACGACCUGAGGGUGAGAGGGGGGGCCCGAAAGGCCUCGCGCUCUUGGAGGGGCCGAUGUCGGAUUAGCUAGUUGGUGGGGUAAAGGCUUACCAAGGCGACGAUCCGUAGCUGGUCUGAGAGGACGACCAGCCACACUGGGACUGAGACACGGCCCAGACUCCUACGGGAGGCAGCAGUGGGGAAUUUUGGACAAUGGGGGAAAGCCUGAUCCAGCCAUGCCGCGUGCGGGAAGAAGGCCUUCGGGUUGUAAACCGCUUUUGUUCGGGACGAAAACAUUUGGGCUAAUACAGCGGGGGGAUGACGGUACCGGAAGAAUAAGCACCGGCUAACUACGUG
rnacentral:rRNA from 1 species